GAUGAAGAACGCAGCGAAAUGCGAUAAGUAAUGCGAAUUGCAGAAUUCAGUGAAUCAUCGAAUCUUUGAACGCACAUUGCGCCCGCCAGUAUUCUGGCGGGCAUGCCUGUUCGAGCGUCAUUACAACCCUCAGGCCCCCGGGCCUGGCGUUGGGGAUCGGCAGAAGCCCCCUGUGGGCACACGCCGUCCCUCAAAUACAGUGGCGGUCCCGCCGCAGCUUCCAUUGCGUAGUAGCUAACACCUCGCAACUGGAGAGCGGCGCGGCCAUGCCGUAAAACACCCAACUUCUGAAUGUUGACCUCGAAUCAGGUAGGAAUACCCGCUGAACUUAAGCAUAUCAAUAAGCGGAGGA
rnacentral:misc_RNA from 1 species